AUGGAGGGUGCGGAGAGCUGCGGCAAGAGCGUGAAGAGUGAGGAGGAGGCGAAGCCGGAGUGCGAGGAGGGAGAGGUGAUGAUGAUGCAGGAGCAGGACGGAGGUACUGCUGCGGUGGCGGCGGCGGCAGCGGAAGCCAUGGCGCCGGCGCAGAUCGAUAUGAGGAUGGACGUGGCGCUGCUCCACUGCCAGGCCUGCCUGCUCCCCCUCAAGGCCCCCGUGUUCAAGUGCGAGGUCGCCGGGCACGUGGUGUGCUGCCUCUGCCACGCCGGCCACUCCGCGCUCUGCACCACAAAGCUAGGUACCCAAGUGGUCCAGGACAAGUGCAAUGUGAAUCAACUGUUCGGUCAAUCUUCCCCCAACACAAACUUCUAA
rnacentral:rRNA from 1 species